UUGCAUACACAUUUCAGGCUCUGUGGUAUGACGGUGCUUCCUUUAUCGUAGCGAUUGACCUAGUUAGAAUAUCUUUAAACAUCAGAAGAAGGUUUUAUCAUAUAUGGUCAAUCUUCCAUUUCCCAACCCUCUUAAAAAAACUUGUUUUGGGCGAUCCUUUAAUAGAAAAAGUUUGAUCAUUGAUAUAGAUUGUUUGGGCGAUCCUUUAAUAGAAAAUUUCUACCUAGGGACGUCGCUCCUCCUAUUGCUAUUAAGUAAUUGCUCCCAUUUCUUUCUUUCUAGACAUUUAGGCUUCCUAUUGUUUGAAAAUAAUUGCUUGUCUAUGCUCCCUUCUAUCUCUUGCUUGUCUUAUUAGGAGCAUGACUAUGAUCCCAGUACAAGAUUUGGAGAAUGCCUUCAUUUAUUGGGCUUGUUUUGCUAGUUAAAAAGUAUUUUGACACUCAUUUGAUGGCGUCAAAGUGUUUCAGCUUAAAUACCAUAUGUUGCGUUCUAAGCCUUUGUUAAAUGUCUUGGGAGACUACCUGGUUGAUUCUUUUGUGUGGUAAGAAUUAUGUGAAUUUGCAUAUUACACGACGUGUAUCAUUUGUUUUAAUGGCAUACGAUAACUAUCCAUAGUGAUAGAAAGAAAUUGAGUAAGAAAUACUAGUUAUACAUGCAAGGUUUGUGAUUUAAUGGAUGAAUAAUGUAUAAAACAUUGUGCUAUUGUGGAUAUGGGUGCCUCCCUUACAAUGCUUGGUUUUAUGUAUUUACCAUUAUAUGCCAUCUCUUCGUAUGCAUUCUUUUGUUUUUGCACUAGUAUUUGCGAUUGCUGGAAAGGCCUCUUGAUCUAACUUGCAAACAUGGUGUCAUCGACCAAGGGACUUCAACUGUUUAAUAAUGUUGAAGAACAACCCAACAUACCUUGUCCAAAGAAGCAUAUUCCAAUUACUAAAAUAGAGCAACGCAAAGAGGGGCAAUGAUUUGGAAGCUUAUGUGGUCUGCACCGUGAGAGUAGAGAAGCGCCUGAAUGAGAUAGUAAAUAGGUUGAACAAGACAAAAGUCGAAAGGAAGCCUGACUUGAAAGUUCACUGGGACUGAAUAGACCUCUUCUAAGUUCUCAACUUAUGGCUUCUGCAAGCUUCCUGGAAUAUGUCCUGUACUCUAUAUGGUGUUAUAAGCCACUCAUGUUAUGUGCUGGUUAUGCAGCUGAGCGGGAAGCAGUGAAUUACAAGGAUAUCGAAGAGGAAUUCCUACAAAGGGUUACGGAGAAUACCCGUCGAUAUCUGGUGAAGAUCUUAUCGAAAAGUUCUAAAUCUGAGGAACCUUGUAUUGCUACAGCUGAGGUUUUGGCAAGAUCAACGGCAUGGCUUGAAAGAGGCCUUUCUUGUGUUUGUGCUCAAAGAGGAGAGAAUGAUGCCCAUUCAUAGUUUGAACUAACCCCUUUGCAGAGGCCACAGCUGGUGAAGGGGAAUAUGCAGCUUUUUUCUGUGGAUCAGCAGCUUAGUCAAGCUCUUGAAGUACAUGCUGCAUCAUUUGCUUCACUAAAGGUUGCUGGAAAUGAAAACCCUUCCAUUCUUAUUGCCUUGCCUCAAAGACCACCAAUUCAGGACAGAUUACAUCAAAGUUACAUGUGAUUGAACUUGGUGCUCAGCCAGGUAAACCUGGUUUCACAAAGAAACAAGCAGAUCUUUUCUUCCCUCCAGAUUUUGCUGAUGACUUCCUAGUGGCAAUGCAGGUACUCAUGUGUACCCAUAACAUUUGGACCAUGUUCAGUAGCAUCAAUACUAAACCA